CGAAGUGGUCUAUAAAAUCUCUUCCGACUGUUCCGCCGCAUAGAGGUGGCCCAAUCCGCUGCACCAUUCGCCUCGCGAUAGGUGUGCCGGGCUACAAAAGAAGUCCACUCCCUCAAGCUACUCCAAAUGUCGACCAAAAGCGAGCGUGAGACCGCAACCUCUGCCCAGCUCUGGAUCCAACCAACUAUAGUGGUUGCGUACCCUCAAUUACAUAACAUAGAUAAUGCCUGUCCAGAUUGCUCUAAAUUCCGCACGAGGAAUCAAGGUAUGAAAAAUCGUAGAUCCGCCUGCUGCCAGCAGCAUGAAGUCCAAACCUCGGAUCACAAAGCCGGCCCCACCACCAUCAAAGUUGACUUUGAGAAAACUCGAAGGGGGGAGAGCUCCCAUGUAAAGAAAACUAACCGGAU
rnacentral:lncRNA from 1 species